UAGGGAAUCUUCGGCAAUGGACGAAAGUCUGACCGAGCAACGCCGCGUGAGUGAAGAAGGUUUUCGGAUCGUAAAACUCUGUUGUUAGAGAAGAACAAGGACGUUAGUAACUGAACGUCCCCUGACGGUAUCUAACCAGAAAGCCACGGCUAACUACGUGCCAGCCGCCGCGGUAAUACGUAGGUGGCAAGCGUUGUCCGGAUUUAUUGGGCGUAAAGCGAGCGCAGGCGGUUUCUUAAGUCUGAUGUGAAAGCCCCCGGCUCAACCGGGGAGGGUCAUUGGAAACUGGGAGACUUGAGUGCAGAAGAGGAGAGUGGAAUUCCAGGUGUAGCGGUGAAAUGCGUAGAUAUAUGGAAGAACACCAGUGGCGAAGGCGGCUCUCUGGUCUGUAACUGACGCUGAGGCUCGAAAGCGUGGGGAGCAAACAGG
rnacentral:rRNA from 1 species